GACCCUGUCUCAGAAAAAUAAAUAUCCCAGAUCUUUUCACGUGCAAGUUUGUGAACAACAGAAUGAAGAUUUUAGGCAUUUAAGUGUUGCCUACUAA
ensembl:lncRNA novel transcript, sense overlapping BNIP2 and GTF2A2